CCGAGCCGCACAGCCUCUCGGGCGGUGUAGUCCACCCCUCCCCGCAGCCCUGCGCCGGAGGCUAUUCUGCUCUUCCUGUCUGUGCUGGCUCAUGCUCAGUCUCACGUCUCUACUUUUUGUUCUUAACUGAUCUGAACCCGGCAAAGGUGGCAACACAGUGGUAUGCAGUCAGGAAGGAGUGGUCCUAGAAGUCCUCAAGAUUGACCCCAUACACCAUGGAGUGUCAUGCAACACGUCAUGGGUGAGGUUCGAUUCUGUCGUCUCCAUUUUGCUCUUCGGUUUUUGAACCAAACCUGUAAAUAGAAAACAGAAUGAGAUUUGCUGCAUUACUAACAGGAGCUAGACGGCAACAACACCCUGCACUUCACUGUCAAGAGGCAACCGACUUGAGGAGCAACUCAGACACCUGAUCUUGGAGGCAAAUGUUACCCUGCGCGUUGUGCUGUUGAGAUAAGCAAACCUAUCCUGUCACAACUGAGCUCUGCCUCAAGGACCAUAUCAUAACUUCAAUUCCCUGUCACAGCCAGACAGCUGCGGGACAUCUGACGGGCAAUGAUCAGGUAGAAAGCACACCUGUGAUCAACUAAUGAUGUCGGGUGCACCAUGAAUCGAAACCCUUCUUCCCUCACCACUUUAUGAGCCACACAUUUAAUUCUCUAAUCUGCUUAACCCUAUGCCAGUUGGCACAUGGUUCAGGUAACAAUCCAGAGAUGAUUAUCCUUGAUGCUCUGCAUUUUAAAUUGGACUUUAACUCCAUAAACUCUCCCAACAGAACAUUAUUCCUGCUUCUACCUAUGUUGUUUUCCUACAGGGAACAUGAAAGCUGGGUCCUCUCCCUCUUACAUCAUGUUCAUCUCUAGCCACGAAGAUAUAUCCUUAACCUUGGCACCAGGCAGGAGAAAGAAACUUCUGAACCCUUAGUCCUGGUUGCAGAGAACAGGAUCUAUCCCUCUGACUGUACUGUCCACUAUCACUACCACAUUCCUCUUCGCUCCUCCCAAGUAAAUGGCAUCCUUUACCAUGGUGUCAUGCUCAGUUUGCUCAUUCAUCCUACUGUUCUUGUUCUCACCUAAUCAGGUAGCAAAUACAUCGUACUUGUUGGUCAAAGGCAAGGGCGUUCUCAAGGGCAAUUAGGGAUGGACAAUGAAUGCUGACCCAGGUAAUGUCCACAUCCCAUGAAAAAAAUCAGAUGGGUAAAUGUAAUCGGAUUAAUCAGAGUAAGCAGAUAGUGGAGUUCUAAUGAAUGGCCAUGAUCUGAAAUGUUAACUCUGCUUCUCUCUCCACUGAUGUUGCCAGAUCAGCAGAGUAUUUCUAGCAUUUUCUGUUUAUUAUAUGAGCAGAUAGUGUUCUGUGUGAAUUAGAAAUUCCUAAUAUCAAUCCUGAAACUACCUUUCACCACCUUGAACCUGUGGUCUUUUGUACUAUCACAAUUUACAUUUGAUUUCUGGCUAUGUGUUAGAUAUAUAUUCAGUGGUUAUCACUCAUCUGUGGGUCAGAAGUCAUUGGUCCAAAACCCACUUCAGAGUCUUGAGCGUAUAAUUUAGGCUGACACCCCAGUGCCUGCUGAGAGAGUGCUGUAUUUCAGAGAUGCUGUCAUUCAGAUAAACGAUUAAGCUGAGGCUCUGUCUGACUUUUCGAGUGAGUAUAAAAAAUCCCAUGGCAUUAUUUCGAAGAAGAGCAGGAGUCCUGGCCAUAUUAACCCCUCAAUUAACAUUAUCACAUUGCUGUUGAUGGGAGCUUACUGUCCACAAAUAAACUGCUCCAUUUCAUACAUUGCAACAGUGAUGACACUUCAGCCAAUGAAGUAUUUUUUGAAAAAAAUACUUUCAGAUGACUUAAGAAUAUAAAAGACACAUAAAAAUGCAAAUCUUCCAUUCUUUCUUGAGCAAGGAUCAGGAGUAAGGGAUCAGAGGACAUAUCCGGGGGCUGGACUAAUGGUGGAGAAAUGAGGGGUCAGGAGGAAGAUCUCAGGAGUGAAGUUGGAAGAGCGAGGGUUCAGGGAAGAGGUCAGGAGGGAGCAUGCAGGAGGGAAGGGUCAGGAGGGAGGGGGGUCAGUGAUUCCUCCCGACCCCUACCUCCACUCUCUCCUCCCGCAGUUGCACUUGUUUGGCCAGCUGCUCCCGGCUCACCACAUCCGGAUACUGAUUGCAUUGGAAGAACUCCUCCAGGGCUGCUAGCUGCUCCUCAGUGAAGAUGGUUCGAUGACGUCUAGUGCGCUUGUAGAGCUGAUGGGAUUCAUGCAGCUCCCCCAUUGGCCCAGCUACCUGCAAGAGAGGUGGGCCCAGCGUCUGAACCCAGUGAGAGCCACACGCUGACCCAAAGUUAAUGUCAAUGCUAUUGAAUGCGGGAGAGGCCCAACGGUCAGUGACAAAGUAACAAGUGUGGGCCACUCCAGCCCUCAGACCAUUCCAUUGUUCAUGGUUGAUCUGUAUCUCAGCUUCAUCUAAUUGCCUUGUUCCCAUAGCUCUUAACACCCUUGCCUAACAAAAAUAUAACAAUCUCAAAAUUAAAAUUUUCAAUAGAUACCCAGCCUAAACUGCUCUUUGUGAGAGAAUUCCUGAUUUCCAAGACCCUUUAUGUGAAGAAAUGCUCCCUGAUAUCAGUCCUGAAUGGCCUGGUUCUAAUUUUAAGGUUCUCCCCCCUUGUUCUGGACACUCCCACCAAAGGAAAUAGUAUCUCUGUAUGUGCUCUAUCAAAUCUUUUAAUCAUCUUAAGCACCUCAAUCAGAUCGCCCAUUAACCUUCUAACUUCAAGGGAAUACAAACUUGGUGUAUGCAGCCCAUCUCCACAGUUUAAUCCCAGUUAGGUUCUGGUGAAUCUACACUGCACUCUCUCCAAGGCCAAUAUAUCCUUCCUGAGGUUCAGGGCUCACAGCUGAACAUGGAACUCCAGGUGUGGACUAAACCAGAGUGCGAUACAACUGAAGCAUAACAUCCAUCCCUUUGUAUUGCAGCCCUCCUGAAAUAAAAGCUAUUAUUCCAUUA